GGGGGCGACAGGUUUCGACGGGGUUAGUUGAGGCGUCGGUGGCAUGCCGAGGUCCUGUUAUCUCGUAAAACAAGCAGGAAAAAAACAACUGCUGACAAUUAUUCUACGCAGGAAUACGCCUUAGCUGCGUAAGCGGCUAACGCUCUUCCGCCUGAGCCUGUAGGGUGGAAAGGGCGUAAUUUCGCAGGCUAGCUUACCUUUUUGGUCCGGAGGGGGGUAAGCGAAAAUUUAUCCGGACUGGCAUCCUUCAAAUCCUGCCGAUGGGAUAGGAAGGGUGUGAGAUCUAAACAUCGGCUAAGCAUGUAGAGGCUGUUCGCCGAAUAAUCUCGGACGUGGGUUCGAUUCCCACCGCCUCCAUUA
rnacentral:tmRNA from 1 species